GGAUGUCCGGUCACGUGGGGCACCGGGUUCCGGGUUCCGGGAGGGCGCGGGGGUCCAGCGAGCUGGGCCGCCAGUGCGGCGGGGAGCAGGGCCAUGGAGAAGCUGCGGCGGGUCCUGAGCGGCCAGGACGACGAGGAGCAGGGCCUGACGGCGCAGGUCCUGGACGCCUCGUCCCUCAGCUUCAACACCAGGCUGAAGUGGUUCGUCAUCUGCUUCGUGUGCGGCAUUUUCUUCUCUGUCCUGGGGACCGGAUUGCUGUGGCUUCCUGGUGGCAUAAAGCUGUUUGCGGUGUUUUAUACCUUUGGAAAUCUCGCUGCGCUCGCCAGUACCUGCUUUCUAAUGGGACCCGUGAAGCAGCUGAAGAAGAUGUUUGAAACAACGAGAUUGCUCGCAACGAUUAUUAUGCUCCUCUGUUUCGUAUUUACCCUGUGUGCUGCUCUUUGGGUAAGUUCCACCCGCCGGGCCUGGCUUCUACUAACAGUGGCCCCGCACCUGUGUCGUCACACCGCCGUCCCAGAGGAGCUCAGGGUCUGGUGUCUAAAACCCAGUUGGGGGUCCCUAAGAUUGUGUGCGGUAACGUCAGUUUAGUGGCUAGACUGGGGAGCAACCCUGCUGUCCAGAACGGACAGGUGAGUUCAGACUCGCUUUUAGGGCAGAAGGCCCAGCUCCUCUCACCACUCCCAGGCCCUGAGAGGCUUCUGCUGGGGGCGUUUUCUCCGUCUGCUGUGCUCGCUGGCCUGGCCGUGCCGCACCCUGAGGCCGAGGAUGCUGCGGGUGAGGGAGUGCGUUUUGAGUCACAAGACGUUGAAACUAAUGAGAAACCAAAACAAAUGAGCUAGAGGAGGCAAAAGGGGGCCCUUGGCUCACUCCGUUGGAAGAGCAUCAGCUUGAUCUCAGGGUCAUGAGCUGGAGCCCCACAUGGGGAGUCGAGAUUACUUAAUUUUUAAAAAGAUGUAAAAUCACUUUAAAAGGGGGGGCGCAGAAGAAGUUAAAUUUGCCUUGUGCCUCCUGAGGCAGGGUGAUAGCUCCUUGUUAGCAGGAAACGGCGGCAUCCAGUCCCGCUCGCUUCUGGGGCUCUGAGUCGUCAUUGUAGGAACUUACGCCCCGUCUGCUUCCCGAAGGGAACAGCCUGUUCUGAGCUAUCAAGAAACUGCACGCCUCAGAGAAGAGUAGUGUAGCAUAUGUCUUAGGACUAUUCCAUCAAAAGUGUUCUGAUUUUCUUUUUAAUUUUGGGGAUGUGAGGACUAAGCUUGCAUUAUGUGACAGUGCUUCUACCUCAUUUCUCAACGAUUACGCCAGAGAACGCUCUUGACCCGUGCUCGUACGCCCGUGUGGGGCGCUGAUGCCUGGCUCGGGUCUAACUGCCUAUUGUAUGGGAGGCAGUGGACGAUAAAGAAGUGAACACACAGAAAUACAAAUGGACAAGGAAUCCCAGAGAGAGGCCACUUUAACGCAGAAACUGUUCGUUUUACGUUAUUCUGGGAGAUUGCAGUAGCUCAGCUUUGCUUCCGGAACGGGCUCCAGGAGCGAGAGCAGGAGUGACACGCGGAAGCCCAGCCGAGGACAGUGGCCCUGACUGUUGCUGGGGGGGUGCCGCCGACCUGGACACGGGGACCUAAUGCGUCCCCCCCACGGUUACCUCGGGGACUCCGAGUGGCGCCGGAAGGGCCUGGCCGUACUGUUCUGCGUCCUGCAGUUCCUGUCCAUGACCUGGUACAGCCUGUCCUACAUCCCCUACGCAAGGUGAGG